GACGAACGCUGGCGGCGUGCUUAACACAUGCAAGUCGAACGGAAAGGCCCUGCUUUUGUGGGGUGCUCGAUUGGCGAACGGGGGAGUAACACGUGAGUAAACUGCCCUUGACUUUGGGAUAACUUCAGGAAACUGGGGCUAAUACCGGAUAGGAUCUCCUGCUGCAUGGUGUGGGUUGGAAAAUUUCGGCGGUUGGGGAUGGACUCGCGGCUUAUCAGCUUGUUGGUGGGGUAGUGGCUUACCAGGGCUUUGACGGGUAGCCGGCCUGAGAGGGUGACCGGCCACAUUGGGACUGAGAUACGGCCCAGACUCCUACGGGAGGCAGCAGUGGGGAAUAUUGCACAAUGGGCGGAAGCCUGAUGCAGCAACGCCGCGUGCGGGAUGACGGCCUUCGGGUUGUAAACCGCUUUCGCCUGUGACGAAGCGUGAGUGACGGUAAUGGGUAAAGAAGCACCGGCUAACUACGUG
rnacentral:rRNA from 1 species